ACAUGGAGGUGACACAUGGAGGCGACACAUGGAGGUGACACAGAGGUGCCACGAGGUGACAGAGGAGGUGACACAAAGGUGCCAGGAGGUGACACAGGAGGUGACACGGAGGUGACACAGGAGGUGACACAGGAGGUGACAUAUGGAGGUGGCAGGUGCCAGGAGGGGACACAAAAGUGA
rnacentral:lncRNA from 1 species